rnacentral:rRNA from 1 species
UACGGGGGAUGCAAGCGUUAUCCGGAUUUAUUGGGUUUAAAGGGUGCGUAGGCGGUCGAUUAAGUCAGCGGUGAGAUUUAGGGGCUCAACCUCUACCGUGCCGUUGAUACUGGUUGGCUGGAAUGCGGAUGCCGUGGGAGGAAUGUGUGGUGUAGCGGUGAAAUGCAUAGAUAUCACACAGAACACCGAUUGCGAAGGCAUCUCACGAAUCCGCUAUUGACGCUGAGGCACGAAAGCGUGGGGAUCAAACAGGAUUAGA